CAUCACCAUCGCCAUCGUCAUCCUGUCGAUUUUUUUAAGGAGAGAGAUGGGGGUGGGGGGCCAUUGCCAUCGUCGUCGUUAAUGUCGAUCACAGCGGUGACCAUGAGUUUAGAGGAUCCAUGAAUAUUCGAUCAAGAUGAGGGAAAGAGGGUGGUUAGGGAUCACUGUCUGAUUAGAAAUGAAGGAAUUCAGAAUUCUUGACGGCACCGACGAUGGUGGGCCGGGGAGGCAGCG
rnacentral:lncRNA from 1 species